rnacentral:rRNA from 1 species
UCCGUAGGCGGGUAAUUAAGUCAGAGGUGAAAUCCCACAGCUUAACCGUGGAACUGCCUUAGAUACUGGUUAUCUUGAGUUUUAGUGAAGUAGAUAGAAUGUGUAGUGUAGCGGUGAAAUGCAUAGAUAUUACACAGAAUACCGAUUGCGAAGGCAGUCUACUAACUAACAACUGACGCUAAUGGACGAAAGCGUGGGGAGCGAACAGGAUUAGAUACCCUGGUAGUCC